CUCAGGCGACGGAGCAAACGGAGAUCUCUGUUCACAUGGCCUCAUCGGCCACUGCAUCGAGCCCAGGCAAAUACCAUCUUCCGCUGAAAUCAUAGAGGUACGCCACGCGUUUCCUGCUGCCUGCUUGGGGUGAUUCAUCACCAUAGAAGUUGGAAGUCUUUUCUUCUAGAAAGGCUGCCUCGGCGACGCAUCUCCCUUCGCUUGGCGCUCUGGGUGUUUUGGGAAAGGAAAGCAAGACGGGCUUCGAAACAGCAAAAGAAUGAGAGAUGAGUUCACCAAAUAAAGCAAUUGAGUUACAGUUGCAAAUACGACAAAAUGCUGAGGAACUUCAAGAUUUUGUGAAAGAUUUGGAAUCAUGGGAGAAGGAUAUUAAAGAAAAAGAUCAUGAUUUAAGGCAUCAGAGUGACACUGCCAAAAAAGAUUUACCCCCUAUUCGGAAUGAAGCUUACAAAAAAAAGAAGAGCAAAGUUAAAACAGUCUCAAAACAAACAAGUGAGGAAAACAAAAAAAA